GGCUCCGUGGUCUAGUGGUAUGAUUCGUGCUUCGGGUAUCCACCGUAUCCAUCGCCUGGAAACAGGCGAGAGCAUGUGCGAGGUCUCGGGUUCGAAUCCCGACGGAGCCC